CCAGCCUUUGUCGGUUGCACCAGCACUGGUCGUCCUGGCCCCUGCUUUCUCUCCUGGUUCUGUCUCCUAGUAUAUUCUUUUUCACAGGCCUGUGUCGCACACUAGGCAGGUGGGUACUGGAGCCCGACUACAGGGGUCUCCACCAAUUGGUGCCCAUUGUGGGGGCUUGAACCAUGAGCAAUCACCUGCUCAGUGAGGCUACUCAGAAUAAAAAGGAAAAAAGAAAAAGAAAGAAAAGAAUUGACAACGCGGUGCACUUCACAUCAAGGUCAAGGACAAGCACAAAAUCCCUGGAAAAAAAGAGAACUUUAGAUAUGGAACUCGGAGCGUGUCAAAAAUAACAUCCAGACAGCUCGGCAAAGAAGAAAAGUUAUCUCCCUUGAGACUUUAACUGAGACCUUGACAGCUUGGAGCCUUGUGCACUGUUUUACGGCCCAAACAACCAAGCCUGGGAGCCGCUCAAGCUUCUGCUCCGUGGCAAUCAGCCGCUGGUGAGAACUGUUUAGUUUUGGUCUUAGGACAACUGCUCGCCAAAUCUGCCGUCUUUGACACGGCGGACUCGCCUCUCUCAGGAAAUGUGACAUCGUUACGGGCAAACACCAGCGCUUCUCCUUUGGAGGAGGUCGCGCUGCCUCCCCCUCUGCUUGAGUUGCUAAGAUCACAGGUGCGGGAGAGGUGGAGGAAAAGCAUGAGGAGAACCGGCUUGGCCUAAGUGUACCCCUCGAGGGUGCGUGUGGGUGCCGUGAUCGGACUCAGAGAGGGUCGAGCAGGGCUUGCACUCAGAUUGGAAAGAACUGAAAUGAGAAAUAAGUAAUGGAUUGAAAAUUGCUAGGAAAGCUCUGAAGAGCAUAAAGCAAAAUAGUGAGAAAAAACACUUCUGGCUUUGAUAGCCAAGGCCAGAGCUGUGUUAUCAGCCCGAUUCGGCUGCAAAGUUCUGGAAUCCAAAACAAAGCCGGAGAAACUGCAACUGUGCUCUACCAGACAUCAAGAGAUUUUACAAGAAAAACCAAGUUACAAAUUGUAGCUAACUGAUAAAUGUAUCUUUGUUGCAAUUUGAGUUGAUGUUUAAUUGGUGUGCUUGAAAGACUUCUUGUGCAUUGCAAAUUCUUGAAUUGUAAUUAUAGGGUUAACUUGAUCUUUUCUGUACUUUGUUGAUAAAGCAUUCAAGGUUACUACUGUUCUGUUGGCAGCCAGUCGAAUUUUAACAUGUAACAAUCUGAGAACAGAAAAAAAAGGGACACUUUAAAAUUUUAACAGCUGAAGACAAGUUUGUUAUAGAAGGUUUGUAGUAAGUGAGAUGGAGGAAAAGUAUUAAGAAAGCUGUAAGUAGAGGAGAUAUACUUUUGAUAUGAAAGGAUUUUGUAUUUUGUCUUGUUAGAAGGAUAAAGAGAGAUAUACAAGACUAGAAGGCUUAGGUACAUCGAGAAGGUGUGCAGAAUGAUUUAUCAAGGAAGUAUGUAUGUUUGCUUGCUGGUUUCAAGUAUGUUAUAAAAAGUUUGCAUUUACAGGCAUAAAGUGACUUACAUCAAUGAAUAUUACUUUAAAAUGUUAUUGUAAUAUGUUUACAUUGGUUGUCAUCAAAGGGUUAAAUUCUAAAUAUGUUAUUAUGAUAUGUUUACAUUGGUCAUCUUCAAAAGAUUAAAUUUUCUAUGAGAAAAACAACAAGGUUUUAUUGAAAAGAUGCUUUUGGUACCAACCUAAAUUAAAGGCCAUAAGGUUUCAUACAUAUAAUUGUGGUAAUUAUUAUUAUUGUUAAUUUUCUGAUGUACUAA
ensembl:lncRNA